UUUGAUUAUGAAACCGGAUUAAUGAACGCUGGCGGGAUGCUUUACAUGCAAGUCGAACGGCAGCACGGACUUCGGUCUGGUGGCAGUGGCGAACGGGUGAGUAAUGUAUCGGAACGUGCUAGUAGCGGGGGAUAACUACGCCCGAAAGCGUAGCUAAUACAUACGCCCUUCGAAGGGAAAGCAGGGACCUUCGGGCCUCGCACUAAUGCGACGGCCGAUAUCGGAUUGACAGUUGGUGGGUGCUGGCUUGCAGGCGAUCCGUAGCUGGUUUGAGAGGACGAUAACCACUGGGACUGAGACCUGGCCCGGAAACCACCGGGAGGAAGAACAACGUCAGGUACCCCGGUUAAUGGAAACCCUGAUCCAGCCAUCCCGCGUGUGCGAUGACCUUCGGGUUGUAAAGCACUUUUGGCAGGAAAGAAACGGCACGGGAUAAUACCCGUGCAACUGGCGGCAAUUUUCUGCAAAGUCGCCUGGCUAACUGCGAUGCCAGCAGCCGCGGUAAUACGUAGAGGUGCAAGCGUUAAUCGGAAUUACUGGGCGUGGCAUUGCUGAGCGUUCCAAAGAAGAAUGUGAAAUCACAGAGCUGCUUUGGAACUACUGCAUUUUUAACUGCAAAGCUGAGGUAUGUCGGGAGGCCGAUUCACGUGUAGCAGUAGAAAUGCGUAGAUAUGCGGAAGGCUACAUUAAGCGAAGGCAGCUUCUGGGAUAACGCGGCGCUCAUGCACGAAAGCCCCAGUAGGGAGCUUCAGCACCGGAUUGAGCCUACGGUAGUCCACGCCCUAAACGAUGUCAACCCAGCUGUUGGGGCCGCUGGAGCUGGUAGCAGCCGCAACCAACGUGAAGUUGACCCGCCUGGAAAUUGUUCACAAAGAUUAAACUCAAAGGAAUUGAGCGGGGAUUACCUGGCAAUUGAUUGAUAUGGAUUAAUUCGAUGCAACGCGAAAAAGCCUUACCUACCUGCGACAUGUCUGGAAUCCGAAGAGAUUUGGUCUCGCCAAAACCGGAACACAGGUGCUGCACUUGGCUGUGAUCAGCUCGUGUCGUGAGAUGACAGGUUGAGUCCUGGCAGAGCGCAACCCUUGUCAUUAGUUGCUACGAAGGGCACUCUAAUGGUUUGCCGGUGAGCAAGGCUGCGGAGGAAGGUGGGGAUGACGUCAAAUUCGUGGCCCAUAUGGGUGGAGGCUCACGCUCUGCCCAGCAGUGGACGAAGGUCUCCAACUGCGAGGAGACAAGCUCCAAAGCAGUCAUAGUCCGGAUCCGCAGAAUACUGCAACUCUGACUGCGUGAUCGGGAAUCGCUAGUAAUCGCGGAUCAGCAUGUCGCGAUGAAUACGUUCCGGGUCUUGUACACACCGCCCGUCACCUUGGGUGGUUUUACCAGAAGUAGCGUUAGCCUAACCGUAAGGGCGAUUCUCACGGUAGGAUUCAUGACUGGGAGUGAAGUCGUAACAAAGGUAACCUAUUUACCCUGAAUGCCGGAACUGAAUAUGAAAA
rnacentral:rRNA from 1 species